GGCCGGAAAGCUCUCCAAACUCGGUCAUUUAGAGGAAGUAAAAGUCGUAACAAGGUCUCCGUUGGUGAACCAGCGGAGGGAUCAUUACCGAGUUUACAACUCCCAAACCCAAUGUGAACGUUACCAAACUGUUGCCUCGGCGGGAUCUCUGCCCCGGGUGCGUCGCAGCCCCGGACCAAGGCGCCCGCCGGAGGACCAACCAAAACUCUUAUUGUAUACCCCCUCGCGGGUUUUUUUAUAAUCUGAGCCUUCUCGGCGCCUCUCGUAGGCGUUUCGAAAAUGAAUCAAAACUUUCAACAACGGAUCUCUUGGUUCUGGCAUCGAUGAAGAACGCAGCGAAAUGCGAUAAGUAAUGUGAAUUGCAGAAUUCAGUGAAUCAUCGAAUCUUUGAACGCACAUUGCGCCCGCCAGUAUUCUGGCGGGCAUGCCUGUCCGAGCGUCAUUUCAACCCUCGAACCCCUCCGGGGGGUCGGCGUUGGGGAUCGGCCCUGCCUUGGCGGUGGCCGUCUCCGAAAUACAGUGGCGGUCUCGCCGCAGCCUCUCCUGCGCAGUAGUUUGCACACUCGCAUCGGGAGCGCGGCGCGUCCACAGCCGUUAAACACCCAACUUCUGAAAUGUUGACCUCGGAUCAGGUAGGAAUACCCGCUGAACUUAAGCAUAUCAAUAAGCGGAGGAAAAGAAACCAACAGGGAUUGCCCCAGUAACGGCGAGUGAAGCGGCAACAGCUCAAAUUUGAAAUCUGGUCCCUAGGGCCCGAGUUGUAAUUUGUAGAGGAUGCUUUUGGUGAGGUGCCG
rnacentral:rRNA from 1 species